UACCAGCACCCCGAGUGGUCGGGACGAUUAUUGGGCCUAAAGCAUCCGUAGCCGGUCCUUCAAGUCUUCCGUUAAAUCCACCUGCUUAACAGAUGGGCUGCGGAAGAUACUAUAGGGCUAGGAGGCGGGAGAGGCAAGCGGUACUCAGUGGGUAGGGGUAAAAUCCGUUGAUCCAUUGAAGACCACCAGUGGCGAAGGCGGCUUGCCAGAAUGCGCUCGACGGUGAGGGAUGAAAGCUGGGGGAGCAAACCGG
rnacentral:rRNA from 1 species